UUUCUUAAGGAAUAACAACAC
rnacentral:piRNA from 1 species